UACGUAGGUUGCGAGCGUUAUUCGGAUUUACUGGGCGUAAAGAGCACCUAGGCGGCUUCUUAAGUUGGAUGUAAAAUCUCCUGGCUUAACUGGGAGGCGCCAUUCAAAACUGCGGAGCUUGAGGACAGCAGGGGAAGGUGGAAUUCCCGGUGUAGUGGUGGAAUGCGUAGAGAUCGUGAGGAACACCAGUAGCGAAGGCGGGUCUCUGGGCCGAUACUGACACUGAGGAGCGAAAGCGUGGGGAGCGAACAGG
rnacentral:rRNA from 1 species